CAUCAACAUACCCGAUUCGUCUAUAUAUAUAUAGUUAUCCCUCGAUCCCUCGCUCCCGUUUUAUCGCUCGGCCGCCGCCCAGUAAACCCUAACUCCUGGGCCCUCCCUGCGAUAGAUUCUGCCUGCAACCCGUCGAGGUGAACAAUUAUUUCACGAAAUGUCUCGAGUUUAUGUUGGGAACUUGGAUUCACGAGUGACUGAAAGAGAUCUAGAAGAUGAAUUUCGAGCAUUUGGUGUACUUCGAAGUGUUUGGGUUGCUCGAAGGCCUCCUGGUUAUGGAUUUGUUGAAUUUGAUGACCGGCGAGAUGCCUUAGAUGCCAUUCGAGAUUUAGAUGGGAAGCACGGGUGGCGUGUGGAGCUUUCUCAUAAUUCCAAGGGUGGCGGUGGUGGUCGUGGUGGAUAUGGACGAGGUGGUGGGGACAUGAAUUGUUACGAAUGUGGUGAACCUGGUCACUUUGCCCGAGAGUGUAGAUUGCGGAUUGGUCCAGGUGGCAUGGGUAGUGGAAGGCGUCGAAGCCCUAGCCCACCUCGCUAUCGGCGGAGCCCUAGCUAUGGUCGUGGAAGUCGCAGUCCACGAGGGAGAAGAUCCCCUCUUCGUCGCAGCUAUUCAUCUCGUAGUCGAUCACCUGCACCUCGCCGUCAAGAUUCUCCUUACAGUAACAGGAGUCCCGACAGGGAUCGACGCCAUAGUUAUUCACCUCGCCUUGGCAAGAACUGCAGCCGUUCACCAGCAUAUCGUCGUCAAGACUCUCCUUAUGCCAAUGGGGAUGGGCGGAGGAGCCGGAGCAGGAGUAGGAGCAGGAGCUAGAGUACACCAUGUGUCUGAUAAAUCCAACAGAAAUUAUCUAUUUCAAUAUGACCUUGACUGGUUAGACCGUAGAUUCGAUGUCCUACGAUAAUUAGUUGGCUUAAAGUGGUUAAAUGUGGACUCUGGAGCUUUGGAUUCUUCACCUUUUGGUUGGAGCACUCUCCUCAGCUUGCUGGCAUUUGGAGAGGCUCUCUGCUUUCUCUUCACUGUCUGUAUUUGUGCUAAGUGGCAAGAGCAGCACCCAUGACAUCUCUCUCACUGUCUGUUUCUGCUAAGUGGCACGGGCAGCACCCAUGGGAUCUCUUUCAGUGCCUCAGGUUUCUGCUUUUGUCUUCUCAUGAUCUAUUUCUACUAAGUAGCACAGCAUCUCCGUGGGAUCUCCCUCACUUGGAUUUUCUGCUUUUGUGCUUCUCACCAUCAAUCUCUCACCAAGAUCAGAAACUUUGCUGUGGCACUGUUGGCCUGCCUAAUGCAAUGACUCUUUUGUGAUGCACCGGACACUAAUGUCUUUCUAUUAGCUUUGUUAACAUGGAGCAAUGGCUGGAGCCCCCACAAGUUUCAGGUGCUGCAUUUUACCAUGAUAAUAAACUGAUGCUUAUGUUUA